GCAAAGUCUGCUUAUUUGGCGUAGUUUCAUGACCUCCCGCUCUCAAGUUCGGCUACUGCGGUUUGGAAGGCGUGGGCUCCCCCCAAAUGCAAAUUUUUCGCGUGGCUCAUUAUCCACAACAGAGUUUGGACGGCUGAUAGGCUUCAGAGGAGAGGAUGGCCAGAUUGUGACAAAUGCCCACUCUGCAGUCAGGUGCAAGAAUCUGCAGCACACCUGAUCUUCAAGUGUCGUUUCUCUGUUCGGAUUUGGAAUACGGUCUUCUCAUGGCUUGGGCUUGCUAUCCCCACGGCUCCGUGUCUCCUGUUUGAUUCGGUGAAAUCUUGGUGGGAUGCGGUUCUCUCUGAUAAUACACUCCCGACGAAGGCCCUAUCUUCCCUGUUACUUCUUGUGGGAUGGCAGAUAUGGAAUGAAAGGAAUGCUCGUGUCUUCAGGAGCAAAGCGGCGCCGGUGGCGAUUGUCAUGCGAGGCAUCAAAGAGGAAGUUUCGAUUUGGGCCAAUGCAGGUGCUAAGCAUUUGCGUAAUGUAAUGCCGCGAGAGUAA
rnacentral:rRNA from 1 species